rnacentral:lncRNA from 1 species
GUAAAAGCCUUUUGUUAUUCCUGAGUUUAUGCUAAUAAGGUAGCUCCUGGUCAUUGCUCGGAUAGCUUCAGGGUGGGGACUGCCCACUAGAGAGACCAACCGCUCCAUUAGAGUUGGGACUUUGAGCCAACUUGACCUCGAGGGAGGGCAGAGUGGCUCGAGAUUCAAUCAAGUGAGUUCAGUCGCGUAGCCAAUGAUUUAAUGAAGCAUGCCUACAUAUUGAAACUUGAGUAAAAACUCUGGACCUCAAAGCUCAGUGGAGCUUCCAGCUUGGUGAACACGUUGAUGCGCUGGAGGGUGACUUGCCUUGAUUUCAUGAGGAGGAGACACAGAACCUCUGCCUUUGGGACCUUCCCAGAUCUCACCCUACAAGUCUCUUCAUUUGGCAGGUCCUCCAUACCUUUUAUGAUAAAACCGUAACGACAUGGAAGAAAAGAAGUUAAUCUUGUCAACUUGCUAUUUUCUUGUUUAACCUGAGGAGUCACUCAGGGGUCACAAGACUUUGUGAGCUUGUUUUGCAGAAGAAAAAGAAUGCCUUCAAGGAAGUUAUGAUCACCAGGUAACCAGUCCCCAGCUGCCAUUGACGCCCAGAAGUCUGAUUGCCCCAGGGGCUUAUCCAGAGUGAAACACGGAUUACCCCUUUGAUUAUCGGAAACUGCUCCUGCCAAGCCCCCUAGCUCUGUAAAGACCCCCUGCUUCCUUCUCUUGUAAAGGCGGAUUUGAGAAAACCUGUCCUUCCACCUUCUCAUUUUGGCCAGUUCGAAUAAAACUUCCUCCAUCUCCAAGCUCGUGUCUCAGUGAUGGGCUUAUCGUGCAUCAGCACACAGACUUGAGAUGAAGAGGUCCCCUAUCGCUCUCUGAGGUUCAGUCCCACCUGCCGUGAUUUGCGCUCUGUCAUUGGGCUUUUAGGUCUGCAUGGGACAACUCCUCCUUCACCCCAAGUCCUUGGUCUCUUUAGUUAAAAAGGCCCACAGUCAUGUAACACCCAUGAAGGCAGUGAAAAUAUUGCCAGAACCCCAG